rnacentral:rRNA from 1 species
UACGAAGGGGCUAGCGUUGUUCGGAGUUACUGGGCGUAAAGGGCGCGUAGGCGGCGCACCAAGUCAGGCGUGAAAGCCCUGGGCUCAACCCGGGAAUUGCGCUUGAGACUGGUGUGCUUGAGUACGGGAGAGGAUAGUGGAAUUCCCAGUGUAGAGGUGAAAUUCGUAGAUAUUGGGAAGAACACCGGUGGCGAAGGCGGCUAUCUGGACCGUAACUGACGCUGAGGCGCGGAAAGCGUGGGGAGCAAACAGGGAGUUAAG